AUACGGAGGAUCCGAGCGUUAUCCGGAUUUAUUGGGUUUAAAGGGUGCGCAGGCGGCCAUUUAAGUCGGCGGUUAAAUCGUGGGGCUCAACCCCAUUCUGCCGUUGAUACUGGGUGGCUUGAUUGCGGUCGAGGUUGGCGGAAUUCGUUGUGUAGCGGUGAAAUGCAUAGAUAUGACGAAGAACACCGAUUGCGUAGGCAGCUGACCAGACCGCAAAUGACGCUCAUGCACGAAAGUGCGGGGAUCGAACAGGAUUAGAUACCCUGGUAGUCCGCACAGUAAACGAUGAAUACUUGUUUUCGGCGAUAUAAUGUCGGAGGCAAAGCGAAAGCGAUAAGUAUUCCACCUGGGGAGUACGCCGGCAACGGUGAAACUCAAAUGAAUUGACGGGG
rnacentral:rRNA from 1 species